rnacentral:lncRNA from 1 species
AAGAUCAGAACUUUCUCCCUGUUGAUAUCUGUCUAUUGUUGGAUAUACGUGUAUAUAGCGGACUGUUUGUACAUGUAUGUAUUUAUCUACUCAUAAUGGUGUUCUUCAAGAAGUGAUAGAUAAUUCAUUUUAGUUUUUACAACAAUUUUUGCUCUCCGGAGACCGAACGUUUCGUGUAAAAGGAUUUCCUAUUCUUUUCUUCUCAUAAAUUAAUAGUUUAAAAAUCCAUCCAAACAUUUAAUUCAAAAAAAUUAAUAAAAUGAAGGCCAAUCGAUGUUCGAGAAACUAACAAACUUUAUAUUUUCGAUCUAAUGUCUGGCUCUUUCGGUCAAACUGAUCCGUGAAAUCCGACUGACACGAGAAUAAAAAACGACUAAGACGAAAAUAAUUUAGAAGCAAGAAUUAAUAAAAAAAUAACAAAGAUGAACGAUAUUAAAUUAUAAUUAGGAUAAGAUUAAGAAAACCAUGGGAAGAAGCAAGGACGGUAGAGUGCUGGAGCAGGAAGGAAUGCCUUUCCAAGAGGAAAAGUAUACGCACCCAUCUUUAUAU